rnacentral:rRNA from 1 species
ACAUCGAUAACAUACUACGACCGUUAUCCGCCAGGGAACUACGAGCAUUAGCUUAAAACCCAAAGGACUUGGCGGUGCUUUAGAUCCACCUAGAGGAGCCUGUUCUAGAACCGAUGAUCCCCGUUCAACCUCACCUCUCCUUGUUCCUCCCGCCUAUAUACCGCCGUCGUCAGCUUACCCUGUGAAGGCCUAAAAGUAAGCAAAAUUGGCAAAGCCCAAAACGUCAGGUCGAGGUGUAGCGUAUGGAGAGGGAAGAAAUGGGCUACAUUCAGUGACCCACUGAAUUACGGAGGACGGACUGAAACGUCCGUCUGAAGGAGGAUUUAGCAGUAAGCAGGA